AUUGAACGCUGGCGGCAUGCCUUACACAUGCAAGUCGAACGGUAACGGGCCUUCGGGUGCCGACGAGUGGCGAACGGGUGAGUAAUACAUCGGAACGUGCCCGAUCGUGGGGGAUAACGAGGCGAAAGCUUUGCUAAUACCGCAUACGAUCUACGGAUGAAAGCAGGGGACCGCAAGGCCUUGCGCGGACGGAGCGGCCGAUGGCAGAUUAGGUAGUUGGUGGGAUAAAAGCUUACCAAGCCGACGAUCUGUAGCUGGUCUGAGAGGAUGAUCAGCCACACUGGGACUGAGACACGGCCCAGACUCCUACGGGAGGCAGCAGUGGGGAAAUUUGGACAAUGGGCGCAAGCCUGAUCCAGCCAUGCCGCGUGCAGGAUGAAGGCCUUCGGGUUGUAAACUGCUUUUGUACGGAACGAAAAGCCUUCUUUUAAUACAGGAGGGUCAUGACGGUACCGUAAGAAUAAGCACCGGCUAACUACGUG
rnacentral:rRNA from 1 species